rnacentral:tRNA from 1 species
GGAGAUAGUUCAGUGGUGGAACAUUUGCCUAACAUGCACAGGGCCCUGGGUUCAAUCUUCAGCACCA